rnacentral:tRNA from 2 species
GGACCCUUGGUGUAGUGGUAAGCGUGGUUGUUUCUCACCCAGUCGGCCUGGGUUCGAUCCCAGAAGGUCCC